UAAUGUCAGGGAAAAAUUCUGAAUAUUUGCCGAAAUCUUCUAAUCCGCAACCUUCGAAUGUGUUGCCUAAUAUUCCUAGAAAAACUCCUUUUCCCAAAUCUUUUAAAGAACCUUUAACUGGUUCUGAUAGCAAUGGAAAUCAUGGUAUUAGUAUUUCUUCUUCUUCUUUGAAUGUUAUGCCUGCUUUAAUUGUUUCUGAUGAGGAUAGUAGAAAACUAGCUGAACCAUACAAAUAUGCAUUAGUUAGUAAAUUUUCUUUCAGAAGGCCUUAUAUGGAAGAAAUUAGGAAAUUCUUUCAUAGUUUGAAUCUCACGGGUAUUUUUUUCUAUUUGCUUUUGGGAUGCUAGACAUGUAUUUAUAAAUCUUUCAAAUGACUUGGAUUAUAGCAGGAUUUUCUUGCAAAGGUCAUAUUAUGUGAGAAACUGUUAAAUGAGAGUAUUAAAAUGGUCUCCGAAAUUUCAUAUAAUCACCUCUUUGUCCUGUUUGGAUUUCUUUAUCAUACUUACGUAUGCAUUUUUUCAAUGCUCAAGUGUUAUAAGUGAUCGGUUCCAUUUUUGGGAGACCAUUACAGGUUGAUCAAGCAACAGCCAAAAAAUCGAGGCCUUCUGUGGGAAGAAUUUUAGUGGAAAUUGAUAUCACUAAAGAUUUUCCGAAUGACAUUUGGAUUGGUUCAGAUUCUUCUGGUUAUAUUCAGAAAAUUGAAUUUGAUAAAUUUCCUAUUUUAUGUACAAAUUGCAAAUUACAUAGGCAUGAUUUGAGUAGUUGUUUUAUUUUGAAUCCUUCUUUUAAAGAGAAAAAUCUUAAGCAACAUAUUCCUACUAAAUCUCUUAAUAAAGAAUAGAUUCUUGAUAAUUCUCUAAAUGAUUAUUUAGAGAAUGUGGAGAAAGAUUUAAAAGAACUAAUAGAUAUGAAUGAUGUUAAUGUAGUUAACAAUAAUUCAGAUAUCUUAGAUUCUCUUAAGAAUUGAAAAAAUUUUGGAUAUGGUUGUUUAUGAUAAAUAUCUUGCUUUGAAAAUUUAAGGUUUUUGUGAUGAUUCUUUGCAUUCUAAUGUUCAAGAUGAUUUUAUUUCUAUUACUUCAUCUUCUGUUGUCAAGGCUUUGAAUAAUGUUAGUAAAAUGAUGAAAAAAUAAAACAGUGAGUGUGGUUUCAAUAAAGCAACUAUUUCUAUUACGGAUGGUAAUUCUUGUGAAAAAGCAGGUGAGAAUAAGGAAAUGGAGGAGGUGAAUUUAAUUCUGAUGUGGUAAGUGUUUAUGAUUUUGAGGUGGGUAAGUCAAAAGCGUUUCAUUCUUUUUAUAAUACUAGAUUGAAGAAAAAGAAUUUUACGGUCUUAAUAGGACCUAAAUCUUUUCCUUUACAAAAAUAAAUGAUUAACUUUUUAGUGUGGAAUGUUAGAAGGAUUGGUUCUCUCUAUUAGAAAUAGAGUUAGGAAUUUAUGUCCUAUUCAUUGAAUUGAAUUGCUAGUUAUUAUUUAACCUAUGAUUAAUAUUUGUAAAAUUAUGCAUACUGUUAGAUUAUUAGGUUUCAAGCAUUUUUUUUUUCUAAUUCUUCUAAUAAAAUUUGGUUAUUUUGGCUAAUAAUGUUUCUUUAGAUGCUAUAGAAGAUUUUCAUCAUGUUGUAAAUGUGUCUAUUAUCUAUUUUGAUUUUACUGUUAAGGGAUCUUUAGUAUAUUCUGCUUGUAAUAGAUAUGAUAGAAGAAUUCUUUUGAACCAAAUUUGUUCUUUUGCAUUGGAUAUUAAUGAUCCUUGGUUUGUUGGAGGGGAUUUUAAUACAAAUCUUCAUGUUAAUGAAAGGGUAGGGGGUUGUCCUCCUAAUAUGAAUUCUCUGGAAGAAUUUUCAAAUAUGAUUAUUGAUUGUAAUUUGACUGACAUUGAUUUUGUGGGAUCGACUUUUACUUGGAACAACAAUAGAUUUUGAAAAAGAUUGAAUGGGAUUCUAUUCAAUCAUUUAUGGAUUGCUAAAUGGCAUUUUACUUCUAUAAAACAUCUUAGUAGAAGCUUAUCCGAUUAUUGCCCUUUAUUGAUUUCUAUUGAGAAGAGAAGGAUAAUAUUUCUUAGAAUGGUUGCCUUAGUUUUAGAUUUCAGAAUAUGUUGAUUCGACAUACUGAAUUUUUUAAGGUGGUUGAAUCCAAGGUUUAAAAUUGCGUAAAUAAGCCUCGAGGUAUUUUUCGUCCGUGAGGCGAGGCGUAAUCCUUGAGGCGGUGCGAGGCGUAAGCCUCAUGGACGAAGAAUUGCGUAAAUGGGAAUUUAUGUAUUUGACUUUUCCUUUCCCCUAACCAUAUUUCCUAAUGCAUAAAUGCAAAAUUAAAUCAAAAAUCUCAAAAAAAUUUAAACCCUAGAUUUUUUCUUGAAAAAUCAAACUUUGAAUUAAAAAAAAAAAAACUUAAAACCCAUAGUAGAGGUGUCGUAGAGGGCAGCCGGACUCAAGUUGCUCACGGUCGUGAGGCGGCGUGAAGGCCGGCCGAGGGAAGCUAGUGCUUGUGGAGCUCUUCUGUUUAGUUCGGAUAGGCAUAAAGAAGAAAGGGAUGAAAUGGCUUUUUUUUUUUUUAAGAACUUAAGUGUGUGGAACCCAGCUCCAUGAGGCGUAAGCCUCACCUAAAAUUGCGCAAUUAAGCCUCUGAGGCGCGCCUCAGGAUCCAUGAGGCGUAAACCUCACCCAGACCCAAAAUUGCUUAAGCAAUGAGGCUCUUUGGGGUAGAAUUGCGCAGAGGCUCGCCUCUUAUUGCGCAAUUUUAAACUAUGGUUGUAUUGCUCUUGAUAACUCAAUAAAAGGUAUGAUUGGAAUUGGGCUAAAAUUGAAGCGUUUAAAAAAAUGUCUUAAUUGAUGUAAUAAGUAUCAUUUCAAAAAUAUUUUUGCUAACAUUAAAGAAAUGGAGAAAAAGGUUUUUCCUUUAGAAAAAUAUUUUAAUUUUUUAUCCUUUUUUUUAAAUGAUUUAAAUGUUGCCAAGGACUAACUUAUUCAGUGUCAAGACAUGGAAGAAACUUUUUGGAGACAAAAAGUUUUUUCUAAGCAUAUAUCUGAUGGGGAUAGAAAUAUCAAAUACUUUGAUGCUUUGGUUAACAAAAAGAAAUUCAUUAAUUGUAUUAAGAUGUUAACUGGAUCUCGGAUGCAUUGCUAAACAAUUCGGUGAUUAGAAUUUUUUCUAAUAUAUUUUGUAACAACGUGAAUUUUCAGCAAUUAUUCAAUUCUCAAGUCCUUGAUAAUGUUAUUUCUGUUGAGGAUAUCUGAGAAUCAAGAGGGGUUUAUUUUCUCUUUUCUUUUUUUAAAAAAAUCUUAAAACAAACUUGCUUAUUUUUUUGAUAUGUGUAUAGUUAGAGGAUUUUAAAUUUCGCUUGUGAAUCUUCCAAUAUAUCAUCCUGAUUGUUCGCGCUAAAACUUUAAAUGAAUAUCCGUCGUUAAUUGUAUCUUCAACCAAAUGGCACAAUUUGUGUUUAUCUUCUUCUUCUUAUCAACACAUCCCUGCACGAAAUGGCGCCGUUCAUAAAAUUUCAUUUGCUCGCAAUCAUAUAUGGCGCUGUUCUAUUCUUCCCAUUGUCAGUGCCAACGACGGUCCUGCUCACCAAACCCAGCAAACAUCCCCUUUCAAAAGGUAAACUUAUUAACGUCUCUUUUUAAUUUCUUCAAAAAAAAUAUUUCUGCUUUGUUCGUCUUUCGCUAUCGUUCUGGUUUCGCUCGCCGAAGCAAACUGAAAGUUUUUGCUUUGCGAGUGAACAAACAUAUUUGAGAGGAAAUUUUUAUCUCUGGGUUAAAAAAUUUAAUGUUUGUCAAUAAAUGAGGAAGCUUUCAUAUUAUGGAAAAUUUUUUAUUUGCAUUUUAGCUAAUAGGCAAUUGGAGAGGUGAUAAACGGAAACAAAAAUAGAUUGAGGUUUUUCCUGGACAGAUAUUUUUAAAGUUUUCUAUGGUAGUUUGAGUUAUUUUAAUUACAAAUACGCAUCUACACAUAUAUUUAAAAAAAAAAAUAUGCAUCGCGCACGUGCAUACAAAAGCAUGAUUACUUUAUUAUAAGUCAGCUUCUGAUCAAUAGAUUAAGGCUUCGUUUGGGACGGCUUUCUUUGACAUAACAGAGAAGUUAUGUUUUUAAUUUGGUGAACAAUUAUUUUAAGGUCAUUCAAUUCUUGCAUUGAAAUUUUUCCAGUGCAAAUACUUCUCUUCAAUUUCAAAUCUAACCAUUAGCCUCACAAGCAUUGGUAUUUAGAUUCAUACACUGCUGAUAUACACAAUAUCAGUUUUAUAACAAGGUAAAAAAAACUAAGAUCUUCAUGAAUCAGUUGCACUUCAUCAAAUUCAAUACACCCCUUUCCUUUAGAAGCUUCAUGAAUAUAUUCUUAUUUGUUGAACUAUAUUUUCUAGGUUUCUUUUCAAUAUAUAUGAUUCCAAUAUACCAAAAUAAAAUAUACAGAAUCCAUCAGACUGUAAUCUAAAUUCAUUUUUCGAAAUCCUAAAUAAUUCUCUAAAAAAUGGAUUCCCUCAGAUAAGUAAGAGGAAUCAUGAAUCGCUUUCCAUCAACACUAUAACAAAUAUAUGGCCUCUACUUGAAAUGUCUCUAUCAUUUGUAGUUGACAUAACACUUCUCACAAAAGAAGCCAAUUUUCUACACUUCUUUGCCAUCUCCAUGAUUCUUUUGGAACUCAACAUUUCUGCUUGAGAGUAUGAAAAGUCAAAAUUUUGAUAUCCUAAUAAUAGUAGCUUCUUCUCUUGUUGGAUAGUUGCAUUAUUUUCUUCCUUUUCAUUUCUUCUACUCUACAGUGUUUUUCUCCUCUCUAUGUUUUUUCUCCUCUAACAAAGGUGGAGUUUCUUGAAUUUUUCAUACUUUAUUCUUCAUACAAGGCAAAAAAAAAUUAGUUGACUUCUUUCAUAGCCCUUUCUUAGUAUUCUAUUACAAAUAAAUUAUCUUUUUUUAUCGCGAGCAUGCGAGCUACAAAAUUUUAUGUCUUGAGUUAGAUUGAAUUUUUUUUCCUUUUAAAACUAGAUUUCCUGCAGUCUUGAGUCAAGCCUUAUCUAGAUUCAUGGUUUGAGAUUAUUUAUGAUUGGAUGUACCUAAAAGUUAAUCAUAUCUCCUUAUUAAGAGAGCACUCUUGAGUUAAGAGGGUGCUCAGCUAUGAAUAAAUAAAAAAGACAAAUGAGAAAUACAUGGAAAGGUAUAUGCCAAAAUGAAAUUAAAAAAAAAAAAUUGGUUGAAUUGAUAUUUCAAAUUUUCAACGCUUCCACAAUUGACAUAAUAUUUUUUGUUUAUGUAUGCUUGCUAUUUCACUUUGUUAUUUUUAUUAAUGUAUUCAUAUUUUUCAUUUGCACGUUGGGUACUUAGUAUCCUAUGGUGCAGCAGCCCCUUUCCAUCGUCUCCAAUGCACGAUUUGGUCUUGCUCAUUUAUUCUUGUUUUUCUUUGCCAAACCCUAAUUCAUAUAAUUAAGUUCAUUUCUCCUUAACCUUCGCCUUUGUCUAAGAAGAAGGUAACUUAUUGGGGUAAACUUAUUAGGGUGAAAAUUGAUCAUUUACUUAUUUCCAAACUAAUUUUUCUGUUGUACUUCUUAUCUCUCUCGCUUAAAGGGUUCGCUGAGCAUAACUGACAUUAUCUUAUCGAUAUUGCUCAUAUUUUAAUAUUUAUAUGUGUUUCUCAUCAAUUUUAGAAAAUAUUAUUAUUUUUGAACUUCAAUUAAUGUAAUAUAUUAUUACCAAUUUACUACUACUCAAUUAUCUAUUACUUAUUUUGAUAAAUCUUCUUUUCACACAACACCUUGCAUCUUUGAUCGUUCAAAAUUUAAAUAAUAAUAACAUAAUAAACAUGUAAAAGUGUAGCAAUGAUUAAAGAUAAAACAAUGAAAAAAUUGUCUCCAACAAACCGUUUACACUGCACAUCAACUGGUCUAGUUUUGUUCAGGAAAAUGCAAAUGCCCACCACAAAAAUUUAUCAUAAUGUGGAUUAGACUUGUCUCAGUUAUGAAGGAAAAUAAGUUAUGCACAUUUUUUGGAAAGAUUUUGAUGGCUGUCAUGAGGAAUCCCUGAGAACUUCAUACAGAACAAUGCUCCCGCAAGCCAAAACCAAAAUCAAGGACUGGAAUUGCGGGAAGCAGCUGCUCUCCUACACGGACAUUUUCCUCCUUCGAGUGCAGCAACAUCCAUGAGGAGAAACUCUUAUUAGAGUAUAUUGAUCUUAGUCUCCAUGUACUAAUUAGAUAAACGAAAGUGCAGCAUAUUAGAUAGUGAGAUCCUUGAAAGAGUGCAAAUUUCCAUUUUCAAUACUUACACCGACAACUUGAUGGUUCAAGUCACCAUUCUCAGGUACACUGUAUUCAUUGCAGUUGGCUAAACCGACGACUGCUGAGCUCUUCAAACCUUCGAAAUAAGUUGUAUUAGGGAAAUAUUCAGCACAGCGGACCUUCCAACCUACAAUAAAUCAAAUACAGUAUGAUAUUAGCAAAGAAAAGAGCUUGUAGGUCAUUGAUGCUUAUAAAUUGUUAAAAAGGAAAUCUAGAAACAAGCUGUACCCUGAAUGUAGCUUAUAUAUCAGAAAAAUACAAAGCCAUGGUAUGACUUUCCUAUAAGACUUUCAUAUUGGGAUGAACUAAAGUUAUCUACAUUGAUGCUAAGGUAUUAUAUGCCUCACUCUGUAAUAAGCAGAUUUUAUCAUUCUUUUAAACUGUUAGAUCCAUAAGAAGAAGAAAAAUAAAAUCUUACUAUUUUUCAAGGAACAUUUAUUCUAUUCAAACUUAUUUUCAACAUAAAACGGCAAAACAUUCAUUUUUAAAUUUUUUCGUAUAACACUAAAAAAUUUUAAUUCCAAAACACAAAAUUGUUUGGCAAUGGCUUAUUCAUUACUUUUCUCAAUCCGCAAUAAUAUUUGCGCUUUGAUUAGCUAUAAGUUUUCAUUUGAUAUUUUUCUUCCUGUUUUUCCAUUUGGAUUAUUCAAUGCUUGUAAAUGAAUUUAGUUCUCUUUAAAAAAGUUUGAUAUUCCAUUGCUUGGAAUGCAAGAAUUGGCUCUAUUCAAUGCAAGAAUUUUAAAUACUUCAUCACUUUGAUAAUUGAGAUAAUAUUUUCUUUCUAUGUAUUUUUGUUAUUUCACUGUUCUAUUUUUUUUUUAUUUAUUCAUAUUUCUCUUUUGCACUUUGGGUACCUAAUAUUCUAUGGUGCAGCAUCCCCUAUACAUCGACUCCAAUGCACGAUUUGAUCCUGCUCAUUGGUCCCGGUUGUUUUUCGAAAUUCCUCGUUCUACAUAUCAUUCAAGGUUGAUCAAGCAACAGCCAAUAAAUUGAGGCCUUAUGUGGCAAGAAUUUUAGUGGAAAUUGAUAUCACUAAAGAUUUUCGAAAAGACAUUUGGAUUGGUUCAGAUUCUUCUGGUUAUAUUCAGAAAAAUGAAUUUGAUAAAUUUCCUAUUUUCUGUACACAUUGCAAAUUACAUGGGCAUGAUUUGAGUAGUUGUUUUAUUUUGAAUCCUUCAUCGAAAGAGAAAAAUCUUAAGCAACAUAUUUUUACUAAAAUUUAGGGUUUAGGGUUUAGAGAUUCUUGAUAAUUCUCUAAAUGAUUAUUUCUCUAAAUGAUUAUUUAGAGAAUGUGGAGAAAGAUUUAAAAGAACUAAUAGAUCUGAAUGAUGUUAAUCUAGUUAACAAUAAUUCAGAUAUCUUAGAUUCUCUUAAGAACGGAAAAAUUUUGGAUAUGGUUGCUUAUGAGAAAAAUCUUGCUUUGAAAAUUGAAGUUUUUUUUCUGAUGA